rnacentral:rRNA from 1 species
UACAGAGGGGGCGAGCGUUGUUCGGAAUUACUGGGCGUAAAGGGCGCGUAGGCGGCCAACUAAGUCGGACGUGAAAUCCCCUGGCUCAACCAGGGAACUGCGUCCGAUACUGAUUGGCUUGAAUCCGGGAGAGGGAUGUGGAAUUCCAGGUGUAGCGGUGAAAUGCGUAGAUAUCGGGAGGAACACCAGUGGCGAAGGCGAGUCUCUGGGAUGAUGCUGACGCUGAGGCGCGAAAGCCAGGGGAGCAAACGGG